rnacentral:rRNA from 1 species
UGGGGAAUAUUGCGCAAUGGGGGGAACCCUGACGCAGCAACGCCGCGUGAGCGAAGAAGGCCUUCGGGUCGUAAAGCUCUGUCAUAGGGGAAGAGGAGAAGACGGUACCCUAUGAGGAAGCCCCGGCUAACUACGUGCCAGCAGCCGCGGUAAUACGUAGGGGGCGAGCGUUGUCCGGAAUUACUGGGCGUAAAGGGUGCGUAGGCGGCCUGAUAAGUCAGAUGUGAAAUACCAGGGCUCAACCCUGGGGGUGCAUUUGAAACUGUCGGGCUUGAGUGCAGGAGAGGAAAGCGGAAUUCCUGGUGUAGCGGUGAAAUGCGUAGAUAUCAGGAGGAACACCAGUGGCGAAGGCGGCUUUCUGGACUGUAACUGACGCUGAGGCACGAAAGCGUGGGGAGCG